UUGGAGGGCAAGUCUGGUGCCAGCAGUUGCGGUAAUUCCAGCUCCAAUAGCGUAUAUUAAAGUUGUUGCAGUUAAAAAGCUCGUAGUUGAAUUUCGGGAUUAGUACGCUGGUCGUGCCUUCGGUACGUACUGGUGUUACUGAUUUCUACCUUCUGACGAACCAUCAUGUCAUUAAUUUGGUGUGGUGGGGAAUCAGGACUGUUACUUUGAAAAAAUUAGAGCGUUUAAAGCAGGCUCGCGCUUGAAUACAUUAGCAUGGAAUAAUGAAAUAGGACGUUGAUCCUAUUUUGUUGGUUUCUAGGAUUGACGUAAUGAUUAAUAGGGAUAGUUGGGGCAUUAGUAUUCAAUUGUCAGAGGUGAAAUUCUUGGAUUUAUUGAAGACUAACUAUUGUGAAAGCAUUUGCCAAGGAUGUUUUCAUUAAUCAAGAACGAAAGUCAGGGGAUCGAAGACGAUCAGAUACCGUCGUAGUCUUAACCAUAAACUAUGCCGACUAGGGAUCGGAUGAUGUUAAUUUUUUAAUGACUCAUUCGGCGCCUUACGGGAAA
rnacentral:rRNA from 1 species